rnacentral:tRNA from 1 species
GCCCGGGUGGCGAAACUGGCAGACGCAUGGGACUUAAAAUCCCAAGGGGAGCAAUCCCCAUGUGGGUUCGAUCCCCACCCCGGGCA